CCCUUAGAUGUUCUGGGCCGCACGCGCGCUACACUGAUGCAUUCAACGAGCCUAUCCUUGACCGACAGGUCCGGGUAAUCUUUGAAUCUGCAUCGUGACGGGGAUAGAUUAUUGCAAUUAUUAAUCUUCAACGAGGAAUGCCUAGUAGGCGCAAGUCAUCGGCUUGCGUCGAUUACGUCCCUGCCCUUUGUACACACCGCCCGUCGCUCCUACCGAUUGGGUGUGCUGGUGAAAUGUUCGGAUCGGCCGUUUGUCGCGGUUUCCGCGGCUCGUGGCUGAGAAGUUCAUUAAACCCUCCCACCGAGAGGAAGGAGAAGUCGUAACA
rnacentral:rRNA from 1 species